UAGCAUUCGCCUCUGUAUUUGACAUGCU
rnacentral:piRNA from 1 species